rnacentral:rRNA from 1 species
UAAUACGGAUGGUGCGAGCGUUGUUCGGAAUCACUGGGCGUAAAGGGCGCGUAGGCGGCAUUGUAAGUCAGAUGUGAAAGUCCAGGGCUCAACCCUGGAAGUGCAUCUGAAACUGCAAAGCUUGAGUAUUGGAGAGGAAAGUGGAAUUCCCGGUGUAGAGGUGAAAUUCGUAGAUAUCGGGAGGAAUACCGGAGGCGAAGGCGACUUUCUGGACAAAUACUGACGCUGAGGCGCGAAAGCGUGGGGAGCAAACAGGAUUAGAUACCCUGGUAGUCCACGCCGUAAACGAUGUCAACUAGACGUUGGGGGGUUUAACCCUUUAGUGUCGCAGCUAACGCAUUAAGUUGACCGCCUGGGGAGUACGGCCGCAAGGUUA